GAUGAACGCUGGCGGCGUGCCUAAUACAUGCAAGUCGAGCGAACAGACGAGGAGCUUGCUCCUCUGACGUUAGCGGCGGACGGGUGAGUAACACGUGGAUAACCUACCUAUAAGACUGGGAUAACUUCGGGAAACCGGAGCUAAUACCGGAUAACAUGUUGAACCGCAUGGUUCAACAGUGAAAGACGGUCUUGCUGUCACUUAUAGAUGGAUCCGCGCCGCAUUAGCUAGUUGGUAAGGUAACGGCUUACCAAGGCAACGAUGCGUAGCCGACCUGAGAGGGGGAUCGGCCACACUGGAAAGGGGACACGUGCCAACACCCGACGGGAGGCAGCAGUAGGGAACCUUCGGCAAGGGGGAAAAGCCUGAGGGAGCAACGCCGCGGGGGUGAGGAAGGUUUUCGGAGCGAAAAAUCUUGUUAUUAGGGAAGAAAAAAGGGGUAAGAAACUAGGCCCGCUUUGACGGAACCUAAUAAGAAAGCCCCGGCUAACUAGGU
rnacentral:rRNA from 1 species